rnacentral:lncRNA from 1 species
AACAAAACAAAGCAAUCCUUGCCCUUGUGCAAUUGACAUUCAUUCAUUGACUUCAGCUUUCUUAAGACUUACUCAACUCUGGGAAUUCAAAAUAACUUGCACAGGGUGUUUUCAGCAAGCCUACAACAUACAGAUCAUAACAUUUAUGAAUUCACUAAUAAAAGUAGAGAGCAUUCACUCAACAGGUAUUUAUUAGGCAUCUAUGUGUCAGGUACUGUUAACGCUAUUGGGGAUUGAAUGCCAAACAAGGUGGUUCCUGCUGUCGGGAAGCACAGUUUAUUUUAAAUUAAGCAAUUCUACCAUCAAAGUCUAGUGCUCCAGUUUUAUAAAGUGAUAAAUUGUCAUGCUAACUUAAUAUUUCUUCUCUUAUCAGUCUUCAUUAAACAAAAGGUGAUCAGCUUCCUACUCACUCAAACUAAGCAGUUAAAAUGGGUUUUGAGAAGAGAGUUAUAAUGUCGUUAUAUAGAUUGAAGGGAAGCAUUUUCUAAAAGAUAACUUGAAGAGGGUGUUAUCAAAUCUUUUAGGUCAUCUUUCUGUAAAGACUGAAACACCAUUUUACCUCGUCUCAUAAAUUUACAUGUUUAUACGUUUAUGUAAAUGAUAUAAUGUAAUAAUGUAACAAAUACAUACAAAAUGUAACAAUACAUACAUAGAGCCUCAUCCUUUUUUUUUCUUUUAAGAGACAGGGUCUCACUUUGUUGUCCAGGUUGGAGUGCAGUGGUGCCAUCAUGGCUCACUGCAACUGCAAACUUCUGGGCUCAACGGUUCUUCCCACCUCAGCCUCUCGAUUAGCUGGGAUUACAGGUGCAUGCCACCAC